CAGCCGCCGCGGGAACACAGAGGGUGCGAGCGUUAAUCGGAUUUACUGGGCGUAAAGCGUGCGUAGGCGGCUUCUUAAGUCGGAUGUGAAAUCCCUGAGCUUAACUUAGGAAUUGCAUUCGAUACUGGGAAGCUAGAGUAUGGGAGAGGAUGGUAGAAUUCCAGGUGUAGCGGUGAAAUGCGUAGAGAUCUGGAGGAAUACCGAUGGCGAAGGCAGCCAUCUGGCCUAAUACUGACGCUGAGGUACGAAAGCAUGGGGAGCAAACAGGAUUAGAUACCCGCGUAGUCCCUGUCUCUUAUAC
rnacentral:rRNA from 1 species